AGGGGCAAUAUCAGAACCCUGGUUUCCAUUUGCAGCAAAAACAUGGGUACCUCGGAAAAAAUAGAGUCCUUUUAACUUUGAUUUCUCCUCUCUUUGAUCAGUAGACUAUGCCAGUUACUACCAGGGCCUAUGGGAUUGCCAUGGUGACCAGCCAGAUGAACUGUCCUUCCAACGGGGUGACCUCAUCCGUAUUCUGAGCAAGGAGUAUAACAUGUAUGGCUGGUGGGUGGGAGAACUGAACAGCCUCGUUGGGAUUGUUCCAAAGGAGUAUCUCACCACUGCCUUUGAAGUGGAAGAAAGAUGAAACCCAGGAAAUAUAUUCUUCCCUCUCUCCUGCCUUUAUGAGGAAACUGAUCAUCAAAAGUUCCCACUCCCUACUUCUGCCACCCCACCAACGCCUUGGACUCCUCUCUUUGCUGAAGAGACCCAAGUCUCUUGACACCUCAGAGUGACUGUAAGCUACCAGUAAGACAAGUGGGAAGAGGCACGUUCAUCAAACCUGUUACUAAACCAGCCUAGUCAUAGCUCAUCCCCAUCUCUAAAUGUGUCCACACAACCACAUCUGCCUUUUCCACAAGCUUUUCACAAAGAAGGUGAGAGAGAAGGAAACCUUGGGAGGAGGACAUUACUGGUUGUUCUGGCUGGUUUGAAAAGCACAAAUAAACUUGGGAUGUGGUUCCUU
rnacentral:lncRNA from 1 species